GGCACGGUCACGCACACAUAGCUGCUGGUCCCUUCAGUUUUUCCGGUAGCGUCCACUUGGUCGAUCGUCGUCUUCGGAUCGCGCGAUAUUCCUUGCGAAUUACUCACCGCGUCCCGAUCAAUUUGUCACACUUGAUAACUGUGGAUCAUUUUGUGGAUCAACAAUCGUUUUAUUCGCGUGCCGUUACUUGAUUUGACGGGAUCGUUUUGGAAGAUUUUCCGGUAAUUCAGGACAUUUUAGGAGUCGCCGUUUUCACGAGACCUGAACACGAUACUUGAAGUGUCAGAAGUGUCUGCAACGCUCUGCUAGUUUUCCAAGGGAGCCGAGUAAGAAGAUAUGGCUCGGCAGUUGGACCCCACCGGUCUCUACUGAAGACGUUUUUCUCCACGAUCGAGCAACUACAUACUUCCGCUUUCAGUAUUACUGAAGAUCAUUAUCGUCGACAUGGCAGCAGGAGGAUUGGACCCCACCGGUCUAUACUGAAGUGCGUCGAAUAACUGCGUUUCUCGAGACCGUUUAUAUAUCCAUAUCUUUCCGAAGGCUUUCGAUUGACUUUCAAUUAAAAUUGUGCAACAUGGCUGGACUCGAUCCAACCGGUCAGUAUUGAGAAGGUGAAGGAAGGUCUAGAAGAAUCGAGGAAGUAGGAAGGAGACUCGAGAGAUACUUCAAGGUCGCGACAUGGCUGCUACCAGGGGUCUCGAUCCGACUGGACAAUAUUAAGAUAUCAAAGCCUCCGAAACUUGGAGGAAACAUCUUCGUAGAUCGAUGUUAUCAAUGAUGGAAGAAGUGAGAGGACGAGAGGAAGUCUCAUCUUCCAAUUUAAGGAGACUGAGAUGGAGCAUCCAUAUUCGCAAGGGACGACAUCGGACGUUUCUCGUUAAUGUGGAAUGUCAAUGAAGAUGCCGAAUCUGCCUACAUACAGGGAAUCAACCAGCAACGACACCACUGCCGUCGAGUAAUUUCAUUGUUCUCAUCUCCGAUGACGAGGACAACGGAGUCUGCUCGAGAAUGGAAGGAUUAGAAACUUUACACUGCCAUGGAAAUUCGCCACCUAGUCGUUCCAUCUCUUUCUUCAUCUCUAUCUCUCGCAGAGACACGUGCCGCGACUCUCGAGGGCGAAAAACGCGGACACCCGGAAGAGAUUGUGUUCAUUUCUUUUGAUAUUCGUGAUAACACGAAUGUUCCGUGAUUCGCUGUACCCUGCCGAUAUAAUGACCCCGAUAAGACGCUACUUUUUUUAAAAUUUAUAUCGCACCUUAAAAGUGCGGUGGCUACGCGGGAACGCAGUGAAACGCGACUGUCACGAGAAGAACGACACUUUGGUUAUCGCCGAAAAAAUUUUUGUUAGUCCCCGAUACCGACUUCAUUAUCAUUGCUGUUACGUUGCUAUUAUUAAUCGCUACUUGAACCGUCUACCACUGAUCGAGACACUUGCGCGCGCAACGUCGCGCUGUUACCGUUAUCGCUACACUAUCAACGUUGUCACAACUAAUAUAAUCACCGUUACUAUAUAUUUUUUCUGUCGCUUCGAAUGUCGAUGAUAUCGUCGAGCAUAUGGAUUAGAGAAACAGUAA